GUCUACAGCCAUACACUCCCAAUCUCGUCUGAUCUCGGAAGCUAAACAGGGUCGGGCCUGGUUAGUACUUGAAUGGAAGACCACCUAGGAAGACCUAGGUAGUGCUGUAGGCU
rnacentral:rRNA from 1 species